CAGCUCAAAUUUGAAAUCUGGCUUGCCUCGCGCGAGUCCGAGUUGUAAUUUGCAGAGGGCGCUUUGGCGUCGGCUGCGGCCUAAGUCCCCUGGAACGGGGCGUCAGAGAGGGUGAGAAUCCCGUCUGCGGCCGCCGGCCUUCGCCGUGUAAAGCCCCUUCGACGAGUCGAGUUGUUUGGGAAUGCAGCUCUAAAUGGGAGGUAAAUUUCUUCUAAAGCUAAAUACCGGCCAGAGACCGAUAGCGCACAAGUAGAGUGAUCGAAAGAUGAAAAGCACUUUGGAAAGAGAGUCAAAAAGCACGUGAAAUCGUUGAAAGGGAAGCGCUUGCAGCCAGACGUGCCCGCGGAGGCUCAUCCAGGCUUUUGCCUGGUGCACUCCCCCGCGGGCAGGCCAGCAUCAGCCCGGGCGACCGGAGAAAGGCCCAUGACACGUACCUGCCUUCGGGCAUGACAUACAGGGUGGGCGGCAUACGGCCAGCCCGGGCUGAGGACCGCGCAUCUGCUAGGAUGCUGGCGUAAUGGUGGCAAGCGGCCCGUCUUGAAACACGGACCAAGGAGUCUAACAUCUAUGCGAGUGUUCGGGUGUCAAGCCCGUGCGCGCAAUGAAAGUGAACGGAGGCGGGAACCCUUCGGGGCGCACCGUCGACCGAUCCUGAUGUCUUCGGAUGGAUUUGAGUACGAGCAUAGCUGUUGGGACCCGAAAGAUGGUGAACUAUGCCUGAAUAGGGUGAAGCCAGAGGAAACUCUGGUGGAGGCUCGCAGCGGUUCUGACGUGCAAAUCGAUCGUCAAAUUUGGGCAUAGGGGCGAAAGACUAAUCGA
rnacentral:rRNA from 1 species